AGUCUUAUAGUUUACAGAAAACAAUAAAUUGCAAAUUUAUAAUAGAACUAAAAAUUCUAAGACUU
rnacentral:tRNA from 1 species